rnacentral:rRNA from 1 species
GAUGAACGCUGGCGGCGUGCCUAAUACAUGCAAGUCGAACGCUGGAGAUCUAGCUUGCUAGAUCGAAGGAGUGGCGAACGGGUGAGUAAUACAUAAGCAACCUACCCACGAAGACUGGGAUAAUCUCUGGAAACGGGGACUAAUACCGGAUAGGUAAUCGGAAGGCAUCUUCUGGUUAUUAAAGGUUAAAAACACUGGUGGAUGGGCUUAUGGCGCAUUAGUUAGUUGGUGAGGUAACGGCCCACCAAGACGAUGAUGCGUAGCCGGCCUAAGAGGGUGAACGGCCACAUUGGGACUGAGACACGGCCCAGACUCCUACGGGAGGCAGCAGUAGGGAAUUUUCGGCAAUGGGGGCAACCCUGACCGAGCAACGCCGCGUGAGUGAAGACGGCCUUCGGGUUGUAAAGCUCUGUUGUAAGGGAAGAACGGUAGAUAGAGAAUAUCUAAGUGACGGUACCUUACCAGAAAGCCACGGCUAACUACGUG